rnacentral:rRNA from 1 species
AUUGAACGCUGGCGGCAUGCUUUACACAUGCAAGUCGAACGGCAGCACGGGUGUUUGCACCUGGUGGCGAGUGGCGAACGGGUGAGUAAUACAUCGGAACAUGUCCUUUAGUGGGGGAUAGCCCGGCGAAAGCCGGAGUUAUACCGCAUACGAUCUACGGAUGAAAGCGGGGGACCUUCGGGCCUUGCGCUGUAGGGUUGGGCGACGGCGGAUUAGCUAGUUGGUGGGGUAAAGGGCUACCAAGGCGACGAUCAGUAGCUGGUCUGAGAGGACGACCAGCCACACUGGAACUGAGACACGGCCCAGACUCCUACGGGAGGCAGCAGUGGGGAAUUUUGGGCAAUAGGCGGAAGCCUGGUCCAGCAAUGCCGCGUGUGUGGAAGAGGCCUUCGGGUUGUGAAGCACUUUUGUCCGGAGAGAAAUGCUUGGCUCUAAUACAACCGGGGAAUGACGGUACCGGAUGAAUAAGCACCGGCUAACUACGUG